rnacentral:lncRNA from 1 species
CCAUGAACUACGGCUUGCCAACAGUCUUUCAGACUGUGAACAUUAAAAAUUGUUUCCUUAAACCCAUAGCUUUUGCCCUUGAGGAACACAGUGAGGCAGAACCAACACAAUGAGGACUUACUGCUCACCUGAAUAUAUUCUGGGAGGACUGGAAGGACCUACCAGGUCAGAAAGCCUUGAGGAAACAUGGAGUUUCUGAAUCCUCUACCAUGUUCGCAAGUGAAGGAGAAACAUUUUCAUUCAGAUACCGAUUGAACAACACCUACCUAUGGGUAUCCCUCCCAAAGAGAGUUACCAGCCCUCAAGGGACUUCUGGAUUGAAUGCUAUGCCUUCUCAUCUCUCCCAUUUUAAGUUACGUAAGAUCGCACUACAUAGCUUCUCUCUGUUGACAGACAGUGACAGGGACUUCUCACAGUCCCAAAGGGAAUAUGUAUCUUCCCUGUCCUCUCCCAUAGUCUCUCACAUUUGCCUUCCACAGGACCACAUGCAAACAUACUUCAAUGUGUAAGCAAGGCAAACCUUGACAGAGCACAAAAUCCCUAGGUUGCCUAUGGGAAGUAAGGUCCUGCCAUUCCCUAACCCCCUAGCCAGGCCCCAGCAUUCCCUUUGGGAACCUGGAAGGUAAAUAUAGGUGGCCGAGAAGCCAUUUACCUUCAGAGCUCCAGCAAUUAAACCUUCUAUUCCCAAGAUGGGGCCCUUCCUCCAAAUUAACUCAAUGUGGUCCUCCCACUCAUUUUUUCCCCAGUGACACUUUUUCCCAGGAAAGGAGCUGACUCAUUCCUACAAAGAUAGGCAUGGCUGGCUGGCCUUUCUUCUUGAUAUAUUUGCCUUAACAGAAGAUAAUGACCCUGAUUUGAAGGAAAGAUCUGGUUGUGAACUGAACGAAGAAGGUUUUGUAGAGAAUCAUAGGAUAGAUGUAGAUAUACUUCUUGGGAAUUCAUGAAAUCAGUCUCAAACAAAACGAAAUGGUUUUUCCUUCCAUUCCAUGUAAAAAUCACUUCCUCACUAAAGGGAGGGGUAGAAUACCUCACUCGCUUCUCUCUUCCAAAUCCUUACUCCUCAACAUGCCCAUCUCUGUUCCUACUCCUAG